rnacentral:rRNA from 1 species
UCGGGAAUUUUGGGCAAUGGGCGAAAGCCCUGACCCAGCAACGCCGCGUGAAGGAUGAAGUAUUUCGGUAUGUAAACUUCGAAAGAAUAGGAAGAAUAAAUGACGGUACUAUUUAUAAGGUCCGGCUAACUACGUGCCAGCAGCCGCGGUAAUACGUAGGGACCAAGCGUUGUUCGGAUUUACUGGGCGUAAAGGGCGCGUAGGCGGCAAUUCAAGUCAUCUGUGAAAUCUCCGGGCUUAACUCGGAACGGUCAGAUGAUACUGCUUUGCUAGAGUGCAGAAGGGGCAAUCGGAAUUCUUGGUGUAGCGGUGAAAUGCGUAGAUAUCAAGAGGAACACCUGAGGUGAAGACGGGUUGCUGGGCUGACACUGACGCUGAGGCGCGAAAGCCAGGGGAGCAAACGGGAUUAGAUACCCCCGUAGUCCCUGAGCGGGCUGGCAAGGCGCAU